rnacentral:rRNA from 1 species
GACGAACGCUGGCGGCGUGCUUAACACAUGCAAGUCGAACGGAAAGUGCCCAGCUUGCUGGGUGACUCGAGUGGCGAACGGGUGAGUAACACGUGGGUGAUCUGCCCUGCACUUUGGGAUAAGCCUGGGAAACUGGGUCUAAUACCGAAUACACCCUGCUGGUCGCAUGGCCUGGUGGGGGAACGCUUUUGCGGCGUGGGAUGGGCCCGCGGCCUAUCAGCUUGUUGGUGGGGUGAUGGGCUACCAAGGCGACGACGGGUAGCCGGCCUGAGAGGGUGUCCGGCCACACUGGGACUGAGAUACGACCCAGACUCCUACGGGAGGCAGCAGUGGGGAAUAUUGCACAAUGGGCGCAAGCCUGAUGCAGCGACGCCGCGUGAGGGAUGACGGCCUUCGGGUUGUAAACCUCUUUCAAUAGGGACGAAGCGUGAGUGACGGUACCUAUAGAAGAAGCACCGGCCAACUACGUGCUAGCAGCCGCCGUAAUAC